rnacentral:tRNA from 1 species
GGGGUUGUGGCUCAGUGGUAGAGCACUUGCCUAGCACAUGCAAGGCCCUGGGUUCGAUCCUUAGCAACACAU